rnacentral:rRNA from 1 species
CCCUUAGAUGUCCUGGGCCGCACGCGCGCUACACUGAACGGAUCAGCGCGUUUUCCCUUCCCGAGAGGGACGGGUAACCUGCUGAACCCCGUUCGUGGUAGGGAUCGGGGCUUGCAAUUAUUCCCCGUGAACCAGGAAUGCCCAGUAAGUGCAAGUCAUAAGCUUGCGUUGAUUACGUCCCUGCCCUUUGUACACACCGCCCGUCGCUCCUACCGAUUGAACGUGCUGGUGAAGCGUUAGGACUGGCCUCCCGUGUCGGGUCUCCCUUCAACGGGGCGCCGGGAAUUUCGUUGAACCCUCCCGUUUAGAGGAAGGAGAAGUCGUAACA